AUUGAACGCUGGCGGCAUGCCUUACACAUGCAAGUCGAACGGCAGCACGGGAGCAAUCCUGGUGGCGAGUGGCGAACGGGUGAGUAAUAUAUCGGAACGUGCCCAGUCGUGGGGGAUAACGUAGCGAAAGCUACGCUAAUACCGCAUACGAUCUAUGGAUGAAAGCGGGGGAUCGCAAGACCUCGCGCGAUUGGAGCGGCCGAUAUCAGAUUAGGUAGUUGGUGAGGUAAAGGCUCACCAAGCCGACGAUCUGUAGCUGGUCUGAGAGGACGACCAGCCACACUGGGACUGAGACACGGCCCAGACUCCUACGGGAGGCAGCAGUGGGGAAUUUUAGACAAUGGGCGAAAGCCUGAUCCAGCCAUUCCGCGUGCAGGAUGAAGGCCCUCGGGUUGUAAACUGCUUUUGUACAGAACGAAAAGGUUUCUACUAAUACUAGGAGCUCAUGACGGUACUGUAAGAAUAAGCACCGGCUAACUACGUGCCAGCAGCCGCGGUAA
rnacentral:rRNA from 1 species